rnacentral:rRNA from 1 species
AUUGAACGCUGGCGGCAGGCCUAACACAUGCAAGUCGAACGAGUGGCGGACGGGUUAGUAAUGUCUGGGAAACUGCCUGAUGGAGGGGGAUAACUACUGGAAACGGUAGCUAAUACCGCAUACCAUCGGAUGUGCCCAGAUGGGAUUAGCUUGUAGGUGGGGUAACGGCUCACCGAGGCGACGAUCCCUAGCUGGUCUGAGAGGAUGACCAGCCACACGGGAACUGAGACAAGGUCCAGACGCCUACGUGAGGCAGCAGGGGGGAAUAUGGAAAAAGUGGCGCAAGCCUGAUGCAGCCAUGCCGCGGGUAUGAAUAAGGCCUUCGGGAUGUAAAGUACUGGCAGCGGGGAGGCGUUACCCGCAGAAGAAGCACCGGCUAACUCCGUGCCAGCAGCCGCGGUAAUAC